AUGUCACUCCAUUUUGGUACAAGAAUCUUCUCUCUCUUAUCUUCAAUGAUUCAGUCAACACAAGAGGCCAAAGAACUUUUAUAUUUUUGAUUUUUUGUGCAGAGUUUCAAUGUUCAACGGCUCUUUGGAACCAAAUCCCGUGACCACCCUCUUCUGGUCCAAUUUUUUAAUUUUGAAAUCAAACUCUAACCCUAACUUUCUCCUAUAAAUACUUCUCUAACUCUUCAGCCGAAACCAAGGUUUUAACAUAUGUGAACACCACCACCCCAAAUACAAUCUCUACACAUUUUGAACUCUAAGAACCUUAAAUUUCUAGAGUUCCUCUUUCUGUCUCGGUUGGAAUUUAACCGUGACAGAUAAUUUAGAACUCAUUUGUGUCUAGUUUCGAAUCUGUUCAUAACGAGAGAGUAGAUUCAAGGUCCGACGUCCUAUUCACUGCACCACAAAAAGGUUAUAUCUAAACUAAUACUUAUAAUUUUUAUCAUGCUAUAGUUGGAAUUUGCAAAUUGACUGAAGAUUCUAUUUUGGAUAAGUUGUUAGAGACCAUGAAUUAGAUUUUCAUAUUAUCUGUAUAGAGUUCAUAAUUUAAGAAUUACAUUUUGGCCAUAAACAUUACUAACAAGGUAUUUAUAUCUUGGUUUUGGAUAUCAUGUUCAUGAGCCGUAUCAUUUCACUUGCCCAACGUUAAAAUGAGAUACAUGUAGUUGUUCGUCUGGUAGCUUUUGUUUAUAACCAAUGGAGUCCCAUUUGAUAACUAACAAGUUGAAAUAUUGUUCAUGGCAUGGGAGUAAUAACUACAUAAUUCCUUGUAUAUCAUAUACCCAAGUAUUGUUAUAAAAAGGGAUAUAUAUAGGGUUGUCUGAAUUUGAAUUCUAGUGUCUAUCAUCUAUUUUAUUUGCCCAUGUUUUGAGCUAUGUCGUGAUAGGCAGGAAUUAUAUUGUUGUAAAGGAGACUUUGGCAUAAUGACUAUGUGGUUGUCUUAUGUUUUUUCGUACACUUUUAAGUCUAUCUUACUCUUUCUAAUUCCUAUACCUCUUCUUUCUUUUUCUCUGUUUGCAUGAACAUCGGAGCCGAAGAGUCUCGGUUUGAGACUCGACGUUGCCACUAGAUUCGAGACCAGCAUUUCCUCUUCAUUUUCCUUCAUCUUUUGUCUCUCUUUCCAUUGAAAUACAUCCGAAGAGAGGGGGUCAAACGGCAAACCGCUGUGCUUUUGGUGACUCACCCAUAUCUUGGAAGACUAAGAAGCAGCACACCACGUCUCGGUCAUUUGCAGAGCCCGAGACUACAAUGAAAUAUCGUUAUGUGGAAAUGACAAUAUGUGAGCUGAAAUGGUUGAAGGAAAUUUUGUACCGCAAAAGAAUCUGAAACUCUUCUUCACGGGAUCAAAGUUCAUCCCGCCUUUGAAAUUCUUCUACACAACUUUAUCUUUAUGCCACUGAAAAGGGAUGAAAAACGGAACUUCUGAAACAAAAGAAUCAGCGGAGGCGUCCAAGGUUCCCGGAUAAUUAAAGGCAAUGGGCAAUAGUAACAACGGCGACAGGGCAUCUUCGUCAGCGGUCGUUUAUUUACGGAACCAAGUGGCAAAGGAAAUAGAUAAGAAUAAGAGGAAAUCAAAUUCUGGAUAAAGGGAAACUACUCUUGCAACUAUUCAGAGUUUUAUUGAGCAGGUCAUGAAGAGUUUCAUUCUCUAAAACAGAUCAAAGUGCUUGGAACAACUUACUUUCGUGACAUAUACUAUGGCUUUCUGUGGAAGGCCAUGUGCCCAGGAUUAGCUAGAGUUAAUUGGACUCAAACCUACCUUUCUUUUUAUUCAAUGUUGAAUAAAGUUUUUGCCGCUAUUGAAUAUGGCAUUUUCGGAA